UCAUAUCUUACACGGUGUAAUAUGACAUAUGUAUAACUGUGGUACCGCUCUUUAUUAAAGUUCAAAAUCAGUUGGUUCAGGACGCUUAUCCACAACAGUUUGCAGUUAUCAAAAAGUAAUUUUCAAUCCACGUAUCUUAUCGAUAUAAUCGACCAACGAUUAUCCCUAAAGGAAGAAUAAACACUAUACGAAAUAUCAUUAUAUAUGCUAAUAUGGCUCUCACAAAUAUAUCUGGUAUUCCUGAUAAACACUGGCAACCACCAUUCGUAGCAUUUGAAACAACUAUGGGUGAAAUAGUGAUAGAACUCUAUUGGAAACAUGUACCAAUUACUUGUAGAAAUUUUGCUGAACUUACACGACGUGGUUAUUAUAAUGGAACAAAAUUUCACAGAAUUAUUCGAGAUUUUAUGAUACAAGGUGGUGAUCCUACUGGAACUGGAAAAGGUGGUGUGUCUAUUUAUGGAGAAUGUUUCGAUGAUGAAAUACAUGAUGAUUUAAAACAUACCGGUGCUGGAGUUGUUUCCAUGGCUAAUUCAGGACCAAACACUAAUGGAUCACAGUUUUUUAUCACAUUAGCACCAACACAGUGGCUUGAUGGAAAACAUACAAUUUUUGGAAGAAUCCAUUCUGGUAUGACAAUAGUGAAAAGGAUUGGAUUAGUGGAAACUGAUAAGAAUGACAGACCCGUUGAUGACAUAAAAAUUGUUAAAGGAUCCAUAAGGAAUGCAUAAUAAAGAGUGACUGGAAGUUGGUAAGGAGGUCUCUCACUCCAUGGUUUUUCAACUUUAUCCACACACUCCACAGGCUGAUAACUCAGCUGCAUGACAGUUUCUGCUUCCAUUGGAACAUCUGGUGUACACGCAGGAACAAGGUUAUCUGCGCGACGAGCAUCUGGUUCUAAUGGUAUAUUCUUCCAUGUAUAAUCAUGUUUUUGCGUGGUUACCUCUUGUAUGGGCCCUCUACCUAAAAAUUGUUUAUCGCAAGGUAUGAUCGGUGGUUCUUGCUUAACACACCAGUUGCCCAAGAAACUCAUCUGAAAUAUUACACGUACAUAUGUUACAUAUUGUGUGUCUUUUAAGACGAUUUAAGAAACAUUAAAAUAUUUAAAUUUCAUAUCUUACAUACUCGAUGAAUGGUAUCAUAAGACAGAGAACAAGGCGAAAACUGAAUAUUGUUAGGUUGCCGAAUAGGAGUUCGCUUAUCUCCUCC